rnacentral:lncRNA from 1 species
GACGACUUGAGGUGGAGGGAGGGAGGGCUACAGGAGCCAGCCCUGCCACAAAGAACCCACAGAGCCCCUCAGCAUCAAGCAGGGCUCCCAGAGUCCCUAUCCUCUGCCAAAACAACCUCUCAAGGACCCUGGAUUCUUCCACUGUCUUUCAAGACCAAGAAGCAGAAGAAUGGAUGGGACUUGAGGAUGGCAGCAGAAAGAAAGCAAAGUUCACUGCCAGUUCAAGAUGGUGGCGGCUGCUUUAUGCAACAUAAUUCUUCAGUAGGGAGACGCCCGGAGCGAGCGGAGCCAGGCGCGCCGGGAGUGGCCAGGCGAGCCCGGCCGGACGGCGGACGCCGGAGCGCGCGCCGGAGCCGGCGCUGGAGCGGGCGCUGGAGCCUGGGCCCGAGGCGCGCCGUCAGCCCGCAGAGCUGCGGGGACGCGCCCGCGGGGACGCCCGGCCCAGUCCCCAGCCAGACCCCAGGUGCCGCCACAGCCCGGCUCGAGCGCCCAGGGCGGGCGGGGGGCGAGCGGGGGGCGAGCAGGAGCAGCCCCCGCCCCCGCUCCUCCCAGGCCGGCCUACGGUGCGGCCCACGGUCCCGCGGCCGGAGCGCUUGAACCGACUGCACGGGACUCCCGCGCCCCACGGCCCCCGCACUCCCGUUAUAGAAUUCUGACCCUAAAAUAAAUGUCAGGACGUUUUUUUUUCCCCCCA